CACCACACAUGGACUUGAUGGCGGUAAAACAGUUUAGAAUGUAUUUUGGAAGCUACAGAAGCGAAGGAAGUCAAGAACAAGACGAUGUCUACUGCUACUAAAAUAUCAAGACCGAAUUGGAAUUAAGAAAACCGAAGAAUCCGAAGAAAACCCUCCUUAGCGAAUUACAGAAAAGAACCAACAACUAACUUUACCUACGUGUCAUGGUGGGUGCGAGGAUAUGACCCACGAUCAAAGAGGACCAUACUUCCAGACAUCGAAUGCUGAACCGUCGU